CCUACGGGGGGCAGCAGUGAGGAAUAUUGGUCAAUGGGCGGGAGCCUGAACCAGCCAAGUCGCGUGAGGGAAGACGGUCCUAUGGAUCGUAAACCUCUUUAGGCGGGGAGCAAUGCCGGGCACGUGUGCCCGGAGGGAGAGUACCCGCAGAAUAAGCAUCGGCUAACUCCGUGCCAGCAGCCGCGGUAAUACGGAGGAUGCGAGCGUUAUCCGGAUUUAGUGGGUUUAAAGGGUGCGUAGGCGGAUUUUUAAGUCAGCGGUAAAAUGUCCGGGCUCAACCCGGGCCGGCCGUUGAAACUGGGGAUCUUGAGUGGGCGAGAAGUAUGCGGAAUGCGUGGUGUAGCGGUGAAAUGCAUAGAUAUCACGCAGAACUCCGAUUGCGAAGGCAGCAUACCGGCGCCCGACUGACGCUGAGGCACGAAAGCGUGGGGAUCGAACAGGAUUAGAUACCCUGGUAGUC
rnacentral:rRNA from 1 species